AAGUCGUAACAAGGUUUCCGUAGGUGAACCUGCGGAAGGAUCAUUACAAAUCCAAACAACAAUUACCCGUUGUAAUGUUCUCGGCCUUGGUUGUUGCACGCACCAUGUAUUCAUGUGUAUGUAUACAAAAGCUGCAUGCAGUGUAAAAACGGAAGUGUACACACUUCCACCCAAGGUCCGGUCUAAAAUAACAACGUUACUUAUCAUGGCCAUACUUUAACAGUGUAAAAAACAAAAACAACUUUUAACAAUGGAUCUCUAGGCUCUU
rnacentral:misc_RNA from 1 species